GACGAGGUAAGGCCGGAGUGGUUAAGGCGUUUGGCUGCUAAUCCAUUUGGGCUCUGCCCGCGUGGGUUCGAAUCCCAUCCUUGUCG